AUGCGCCGGGUCAGGUCCGUGGGCUGGGUCACGGCCGUGACGACAACGGGAACUGCAACAGCUCUCACGAUGACGAGGUUGUGGCUUAGGAGGAGAAUGUUAGCAAUAAGCCACGCCACGGUGGUGACCAACAUGUGUGUAGGUCGAGUCGGGACACCGGUGCGUGGCCGCGUCCAUAGCCGUGGUCAGUUAGCCCGGUUGAGUGUGUUGCAGAGCAGCGGCUCACGUUCACUGGAGACCGAGUUACUCGCGUGCAUGGGUUGCUCGUUCCGUUGUGAUCUGGUUAGUCCAGAUAAGGUAGAGUCAGGAUUAGUUAGUGCAUGUGUGGGCAUGGGUUAG
rnacentral:rRNA from 1 species